rnacentral:rRNA from 1 species
AUUGAACGCUGGCGGCAUGCCUUACACAUGCAAGUCGAACGGUAACGCGGGGCAACCUGGCGACGAGUGGCGAACGGGCGAGUAAUGUAUCGGAACGUGCCCUGUGGUGGGGGAUAACUCCUCGAAAUAGCAGCUAAUACCGCAUCCGACCUUAUGGUGACAGCGGGGGAUCGCAAAACCCCUCCACACUGGAGCGGCCGAUAUCCGAUUAGGUAGUUGGUGGGGUAAAGGCUCACCAAGCCAACGAUCUGGAGCUGGUCUCAGAGGAAGACCAGCCACACUGGGACUGAGACAAGGCCCAGACUCCUACGGGAGGAAGCAGUGGGGAAUUUUGGACAAUGGACGCAAGUCUGAUCCAGCCAUGCCGCGUGCGGGAAGAAGGCCUUCGGGUUGUAAACCGCUUUUGUCAGGGAAGAAACGCUCUGGGUUAAUACCUCGGGGUAAUGACGGUACCUGAAGAAUAAGCACCGGCUAACUACGUGCCAGCAGCCGCGGUAAGAC